rnacentral:rRNA from 1 species
UACGUAGGGUGCGAGCGUUGUUCGGAAUUACUGGGCGUAAAGGGCUCGUAGGUGGCCAACUAAGUCAGACGUGAAAUCCCUCGGCUUAACCGGGGAACUGCGUCUGAUACUGGAUGGCUUGAGUUCGGGAGAGGGAUGCGGAAUUCCAGGUGUAGCGGUGAAAUGCGUAGAUAUCUGGAGGAACACCGGUGGCGAAGGCGGCAUCCUGGACCGAUACUGACGCUGAGGAGCGAAAGCCAGGGGAGCAAACGGG